CCGCCGCGCGCGCCCCGCCCCUGCGCCCGGGCGCCGGCGAGCUCGGGAGAACCCGUGGAGCUGAGAUGACCUGGCCCAGCCCUGUUGUGUAGUGCUGUUUGGGGACUGAACCUAGCAGAUGGACAACUCGCUCACUCUGUCUCUUCCUCUGUCUGUGUUACCCUGCUUUUCACCUCCCUGCCAAUGCUCCUGGGAAGGCAAUUGAAGAUGGCCCAAGUGCUUGAGCGCCUGCCACCGACAUGGGAGACCCUGAAACAGCUCCUGGCUCUGGCCUGCCCCAGCCCCAGCUGUUGUAGCCAUCUGGAGUGUACCAGUAAAUGGAAGAUCUGUCUCUUGCUCUAUUUUUCAAAUAAAUAAAUCUUAAUAAAAAUUCAAGUC